GAUGUACGCUGGCGGCGUGCCUAAUACAUGCAAGUCGAGCGAACAGACGAGGAGCUUGCUCCUCUGACGUUAGCGGCGGACGGGUGAGUAACACGUGGAUAACCUACCUAUAAGACUGGGAUAACUUCGGGAAACCGGAGCUAAUACCGGAUAAUAUAUUGAACCGCAUGGUUCAAUAGUGAAAGACGGUUUUGCUGUCACUUAUAGAUGGAUCCGCGCCGCAUUAGCUAGUUGGUAAGGUAACGGCUUACCAAGGCAACGAUGCGUAGCCGACCUGAGAGGGUCAUCGGCCACCCUGGAACUGAGACACGGUCCAGACUCCUACGGGAGGCCGCAGUCGGGAAUCUUCCGCAAUGGGCGAAAGCCUGACGGAGCACCGCCGCGUGAGUGAUGAAGGUCUUCGGAUCGUAAAACUCUGUUAUUAGGGAAGAACAAAUGUGUAAGUAACUAUGCACGUCUUGACGGUACCUAAUCAGAAAGCCACGGCUAACUACGUG
rnacentral:rRNA from 1 species